GAGCAGGUUCAACGUGGGCAACCAGGAAUGGGUCCUUUCUCAGGGAGACAGCACAGAAGAGGUGCUUCUGUUGUCCUACCUGAGGGUGGAGGGAGCGGAGGCAUUUACAGCCAACUCUCCUUCCGUCUGUGGUUGAGGACUGCUCUCAAGAGAGCCAUGUGGCCAUGACGUGGCCUCCCACGGUCAGAGCAACUGUCAGCCAAGAAAUGCAAGCCUCGCAGGUGGGACAUGCUUGGCCGACCAUGGCUGCCUUCAUGCUACGUUUUAUUUCCCCACGACUCUCCCAAAGACGGAGUCUUGCUGUGUCACCCAGGCUGGAGUGCAGUGGUGCAAUCUCAGCUCACUGCAAGCUCCGCCUCCCAGGUGCACGCCAUUCUCCUGCCUCAGCCUCCGGAGUAGCUGGGACUACAGGCGCCCGCCACCACGCCCAGAGGCCUCAGAACUGGGCGUGGAGGACGUGCAGCUGCAUGAGGCUCACUGCUGGCUGGGCUCCUCCAUCCCUCUGCUCCUUACAAAAGAGGCCCCAAGAGCUCCUCUGCUCCCUCUGCUGUCUACUGAGGACACAGUGAGAAGACAGUCAUCUGCAAACUAGGAAGUGAAUCUGCUGGUGCCUUGAUCUAGGACUUCCCAGCUUCCGGAACUGUUGUUCAUAAGUUACCCCAGUUUACGGCAUAUUUGUUAUAGCAGCCUGAACAAACAUUUGGAGACAUCUGUUCUCUACCCAGGGCUGCUCCCACUACGGGGCCUUUGCACAUGCUGUUCCCACUCCUGGAUGCUGUUCCCCACAUUCCUUCCUUCUUACUCCUUAAGGGGUUCCUUGAUCAUCCCAUUGAAAAGUUGCUUCUGUGGCCAGGCUCAGUGGCUCACGCCUGUAAUCCCAACACUCUGGGAGGCCGAAGAGGGUGGAUCACCUGAGGUCAGGAGUUUGCGACCAGCCUGGCCAACAUGGUGAAACCCCGUCUCUACUAAAAAUACAAAAAGUUAGCUGGGCGUGGUCCCAUGUGCCUGUAAUCCCAGCUACUUGAGAGGCUGAGGCAGGAGAAUCGCUUGAACCCGGGAGGUGGAGGUUGCAGUGAGCCGAGAUCGUGCCACUGCACUCCAGCCUGGGCAACAAGAGCAAAACUCUGUCUCAAAUAAAAAUAAAUAAAUAAAUAAAAGUUUCCCCAUCUC